rnacentral:rRNA from 1 species
UACAGAGGGUGCGAGCGUUGUCCGGAAUCACUGGGCGUAAAGGGUGCGUAGGCGGGUCUUUAAGUCAGGGGUGAAAUCCUGGAGCUCAACUCCAGAACUGCCUUUGAUACUGAGGAUCUUGAGUCCGGGAGAGGUGAGUGGAACUGCGAGUGUAGAGGUGAAAUUCGUAGAUAUUCGCAAGAACACCAGUGGCGAAGGCGGCUCACUGGCCCGGUACUGACGCUGAGGCACGAAAGCGUGGGGAGCAAACAGG